GACGAACGCUGGCGGCGUGCUUAACACAUGCAAGUCGAACGGAAAGGCCCUGCUUUUGUGGGGUGCUCGAGUGGCGAACGGGUGAGUAACACGUGAGUAACCUGCCCUUGACUUUGGGAUAACUUCAGGAAACUGGGGCUAAUACCGGAUAGGAGCUCCUGCUGCAUGGUGGGGGUUGGAAAGUUUCGGCGGUUGGGGAUGGACUCGCGGCUUAUCAGCUUGUUGGUGGGGUAGUGGCUUACCAAGGCUUUGACGGGUAGCCGGCCUGAGAGGGUGACCGGCCACAGUGGGACUGAGAUACGGCCCAGACUCCUACGGGAGGAAGCAGUGGGGAAUAUUGCACAAUGGGCGGAAGCCUGAUGCAGCAACGCCGCGUGCGGGAUGACGGCCUUCGGGUUGUAAACCGCUUUCGCCUGUGACGAAGCGUGAGUGACGGUAAUGGGUAAAGAAGCACCGGCUAACUACGU
rnacentral:rRNA from 1 species